UACGUAGGUGGCAAGCGUUGUUCGGAAUUACUGGGCGUAAAGGGCGCGUAGGCGGCCUGUUAAGUCGGACGUGAAAUCCCUCGGCUCAACCGGGGAACUGCGUCCGAAACUGGCGGGCUUGAAUUCGGGAGAGGGAUGUGGAAUUCCAGGUGUAGCGGUGAAAUGCGUAGAUAUCUGGAGGAACACCGGUGGCGAAGGCAAUCCCCUGGACCUGUACUGACGCUCAUGCACGAAAGCGUGGGGAGCAAACAGG
rnacentral:rRNA from 1 species